UGGGGAAUUUUGGACAAUGGGCGCAAGCCUGAUCCAGCCAUGCCGCGUGAGUGAAGAAGGCCUUCGGGUUGUAAAGCUCUUUCGGACGGAACGAAAUGGUUACGGAUAAUACCUGUGACUGAUGACGGUACUGUAAGAAGAAGCACCGGCUAACUACGUGCCAGCAGCCGCGGUAAUACGUAGGGUGCGAGCGUUAAUCGGAAUUACUGGGCGUAAAGCGCACGUAGGCGGAUUGUUAAGUCAGAGGUGAAAUCCCGGAGCUCAACUUCGGAACUGCCUUUGAUACUGGCAAUCUCGAGUCCGGUAGAGGGGGAUGGAAUUCCGCGUGUAGCAGUGAAAUGCGUAGAUAUGCGGAGGAACACCGAUGGCGAAGGCAAUCCCCUGGACCUGUACUGACGCUCAUGCACGAAAGCGUGGGGAGCAAACAGGAUUAGAUACCCACGUAGUCCCUGAGCGGGCUGGCAAGGCGCAU
rnacentral:rRNA from 1 species